rnacentral:rRNA from 1 species
CCUACGGGUGGCAGCAGUGAGGAAUAUUGGUCAAUGGGCGUAAGCCUGAACCAGCCAAGUCGCGUGAGGGAUGAAGGUUCUCUGGAUCGUAAACCUCUUUUUUGAGGGAAUAAAGUGUGGGACGUGUCCUGUUUUGUAUGUACCUUAUUAAUAAGGGUCGGCUAACUCCGUGCCAGCAGCCGCGGUAAUACGGAGGAUACGAGCGUUAUCCGGAUUUAUUGGGUUUAAAGGGUGCGUAGGCGGCCUGUUAAGUCAGCGGUGAAAGUCUGUGGCUCAACCAUAGACUUGCCGGUGAGACUGGGAGGCUUGAGUAUGGUUGAGGCAGGUGGAAUGCGUGGUGUAGCGGUGAAAUGCGUAGAUAUCACGCAGAACCCCGAUGGCGAAGGCAGCCAGCUAAGCCAUGACAGACGCUGAGGCACGAAAGCGUGGGGAUCAAACAGGAUUAGAUACCCUUGUAGUC